UAAACAUCUGUCGGAUAGGUGCUUGCAAUUUAACUUACACGACAAUGUAAACAAUCUUUGCUUGGUUGCGGAUAGGACUUUUCAGAUUUUUAUAGUUUUUGAUGUUUUUGAAAUGAUUUUUUUGCCAAAGAAGUGCUAGAAUCUUGUUGAAGGCUGAUUAACUAGAGUUCAGAAUCUGCUGCACUGGUUUUGAGGACACAUCGGCAACGGCGAAAACAAAACUGAGUCGAUCUCGCUAGCCGGAACGAGAAGCGCAAGAACGACGACCCUCCAAGCUGGAGACUUCAGGUGUCGUGAAGGCGGUUUGCUGACGAAAGUAGCAGUGGUAAGAAGGACAAGCACCGGUAGAACGGCGAGCGAGACAACAAUAAAAACCGGGAUCGGAACUAGGAUCGCGAUCGGGAGAGGGAAAACGACCGUCACCGGCACAAGUACAGUUCUUGGUCGGGUUAACAGUCGAAUUCAUCGUCCUCGAAGCACCACCACGAGGAACGCCAACGAAAGCUUUCCCACUCGUCGUCGUCCUCGAAUCAGCAUCCACACAGCAGAGCAAGUAGCCGGCGAGAAUCGACCUCGAACGUUACGAAGGACAAGGAGGUCAGCGGCAAUGUCGUGAGCGUUCCAGCUCUGAUGGUUUCACCCUCGGUUUCACCCGCCGCGGCCGAAUUAAAAGUCCCGGAAGCGGCCGUAGAUGUGGUGGUCGGUGCAUCACGUCGUUGACAUCAACUGCUGAAAAACUGGCCCAAAGUUUUUCUCCAAACUCUGCUCUGCUCCACCGAGCGAUCGACGUAGACAAGGCAACAUGGCUUGUGAUUUGCGAUUCAUAAACAGUUUGUUAAGUCUUGCACAACUUUUUUGCCAAAUUUUACUUUAUUAAAUUGAAAAGAUGUAAAAUUGUUACCUCGGUACUUGAUAAAACAGAAAUGAUUUGGGAACAUAAAACCAA